rnacentral:rRNA from 1 species
AUUGAACGCUGGCGGCAUGCCUUACACACGCAAGUCGAACGGCAGCACGGGAGCAAUCCUGGUGGCGAGUGGCGAACGGGUGAGUAAUAUAUCGGAACGUGCCCAGUCGUGGGGGAUAACGUAGCGAAAGCUACGCUAAUACCGCAUACGAUCUAUGGAUGAAAGCGGGGUAUCGCAAGACCUCGCGCGAUUGGAGCGGCCGAUAUCAGAUUAGGUAGUUGGUGGGGUAAAAGCCUACCAAGCCUUCGAUCUGUAGCUGGUCUGAGAGGACGACCAGCCACACUGGAACUGAGACACGGUCCAGACUCCUACGGGAGGCAGCAGUGGGGAAUUUUGGACAAUGGGCGCAAGCCUGAUCCAGCAAUGCCGCGUGCAGGAUGAAGGCC